CCGAUAAACAGGAAGUCGACAGUCAAACAGUGCGAAGGGUUCUUGAGUUUGCUUAAAAACAUAAUAUUUUCGUGGUAAAUUACCAAUCUUUUUCACAUAAAGAAACUGGGAAUUUGUUCUUGUGUUAUAGGAAUUAACCAUGACUAAUGCGGGGUUGAUUAUAUUGGUUGUGGUCGCGCCAUUCAUCGUUUUUGUCAAGUGUCAAGAAAGAUGUUUAAGAUCGGAAGACUGUUGGGAAGGUUGUUGCGUUAACGCAACAUGCAAAGGAGACGGCUUUUAAUAUGAAUGCAGUGAUCAAUGCAUAUAUGAUGACUCGGAAUGUGCAGAUGGCUGUUGUAUCGGUUUCAGAUGUAAACCAAAGACAAGCUACCAGUGUAGAAAGAAACAAAUAAACGAAUGCACUACAAACUCGGACUGUGAUAGUGGAUCUUGUUUCCAUUUCUCACUUCCUACUUUCAACGUGAAAGAUAUUUUGGACACAUGCUCUACUUCCAAUGAUUGUUUUUCAACUGACAAGGGUUGCUGUGUGGACGGAUAUUGUCGUAUUUGUACUCAAAGUAAAUAUACUUCUAUAUUGACUGACCACUUAUAUCAUGAAAUGUUUGUGGUAGUUCAAAGCUGUGUAUCCACUGCGAGUCUUGGCCUUGUCUGAGCCAAGCCAAAGUAACUGUGUCACAUUUACACUGUUUACCACAAGUAUUGGUUUAGGCCAGGUCGAGGACAACGAUCGCAGUAGGCCAAGAUAUCGUGGCCUACUAUAGGUCAGGCCUAUACUGUACUGGGCCAAAGCUAGUAUCCACAGCAAAACUUUCGACCAAAGGCUAGGCUCAGACUAGACCAAGGCUCGCAGUGUAAGUACGGCUAAAGGGUAUUGGUACACAGUGGUUAAGUGUAUUGCUUUUCACCAUUACGUAUGGUUCAAGUUCCAACAAUAUGCAAUUUACUUCAGUAGCACAUGGAAGAGUAAUCCGGUUUCAGUCUACUAGACACGACAGGUUUUCAUCAGCUAGCAAUUAUAGCAACACAGUUUGAAUUAACCAAACACAAGGAGAAGAAAAUGUCAAUACAAGAGAAAGUGUGCAACAAGGCCCCACAAUGGGACCACCACCCGCCUAUUCCCCACGUCCUGCAGUCAAGUCAAGCAAGAACAACAAUUCAGCUCAAGAAGACUAAACCCAAAAUGAAUGGUGUACACACGCAAAAAUCUCACAAACAAGCCGUUAACAAGUUGUGUUCGUACUGCUUGUUCCAAGUUGUCAACAGGUGUGGAACAACUUGUUAACAGUUAUAACAAUCUUGUUCAUAUUAUCAGAUUUGUUGAAAGGUUGUUCCAACAAGUCCGAUACAGUCAUAAUAUAAGUUCAAUAUAAAGUUAUAACAAUAUUGUUACAACCUUGUAACAUUCUUGUUAUAUCAUGAUUGCAUCAGACUUGUCAGAACAACUUUGUAACAAGUCUGAUAAUGCCAUCAAACUUGUUACAAGUUGUUAACAGCUUGUUCCAAACUUGUCACAACAACUGGAAACAAGCAGUGCGAACAGACUGCGACAGCUUGUGAACAGAUUUGUAACAACUUGUUUGCAAACCUGUAACAACUUCUGCGUUUUUACGUGUGUACCACAUAGCUCCACAAUGCGACCGUUUAUUUUAGGAAGUACCAAUUGUGAUCAGUCGUACGGAAAAUCUUUUACAGUUUCAACAAUUAAAUUUUGGAACAGUCUCCCAGCUGAGUUUAAAGAUCUAUAUCAAGACAGCUAUGAAAGUCUAUUAUAUAUUUUAAAGAUAUGUAGGACUAUUCUUAGCUUUCAAUUUUAGGACUGUAGCUUAAACACUUCUAUCCUUGUUCUGUGUAAUUUGAUCUUAGUUUUAAUGUAGGGAGGCACACUGGUUAGUCAGCUUUUAGCUGUUCUAUGUAAGCCUCUUAAAUAAAGUUAAAAUCAAUGGUGAUCCACAGGGAAACACAAUGGACCCUUUCUUAUUUAGAUCAGUAAAGUGUGGCUUAAGUAGAUACAAUAGUGAUGAAUCAGUGACAUCAUGUGACAUGCAUGCAUAUACACACACAGUUGAUAUCAGUAGACUUUCUAAAGAAUUCUUUAUUAUUAAUAGUUAUGUAGGAACUCUAAUAGAUUGUAUUAAGUUCUUGUUUCUAUUUCUAUAUGCGAUGUUUCCAAUAAAUAGCUAAGAAGUAAGGCUAUCAAAUUCUUUCUUCAAAACGAUUAUUGCAUGAUUAUUAUACUAGAAUAUUUGAAAUUAUUUGUAGUCUUGCUUUUUCUUGUUUCGAACUUGUUCCCGCUCAUAAUUAGUUUUAGAUAAGGCCAAUUAAAAAAAAAUACUUGGUUAGCGUCACACUCUCACAAAUUUUCAAAGGCGGAAAGGCGUUUUUUUUUAAUUCUUUACUCGUUUUUAAUUUUUUAAAAGUAUUUUUUGGGGCGAUGGGGGCGGUUUUUCCACCAUAUCGGUGAUAUUUUUUGUACUGAUGUUGCGAAGGGCGCCAUUUUGAUAUAAGAACCUUGUAUAUCCAAGACCACGCGCUCCUAUCGAUCAGUAUAUAGCGCGAAGGUCUGGGCAUGAGAAAAAAUUCAAAUAUUAAACUGCUUUAAGCUGUAAAACGAAGAGAUCUACAUAAAAAAAUUUAAAAAAAAAUUCAGAGGCUGCAGAAAUCGAGAGGCGGGCGGUGACGCUAACCAUUUUUUUUUUUUAUUUGCCCUAAUGUUAUUCUAUAGUUUCACAUUAAUAAUUUC